rnacentral:rRNA from 1 species
UCAUUACCGAGUUUACACUCCCAACCCAAUGUGAACGUUACCAAACUGUUGCCUCGGCGGGAUCUCUGCCCCGGGUGCGUCGCAGCCCCGGACCAAGGCGCCCGCCGGAGGACCAACCAAAACUCUUUUUGUAUACCCCCUCGCGGGUUUUUUAUAAUCUGAGCCUUCUCGGCGCCUCUCGUAGGCGUUUCGAAAAUGAAUCAAAACUUUCAACAACGGAUCUCUUGGUUCUGGCAUCGAUGAAGAACGCAGCGAAAUGCGAUAAGUAAUGUGAAUUGCAGAAUUCAGUGAAUCAUCGAAUCUUUGAACGCACAUUGCGCCCGCCAGUAUUCUGGCGGGCAUGCCUGUCCGAGCGUCAUUUCAACCCUCGAACCCCUCCGGGGGGUCGGCGUUGGGGAUCGGCCCUGCCUUGGCGGUGGCCGUCUCCGAAAUACAGUGGCGGUCUCGCCGCAGCCUCUCCUGCGCAGUAGUUUGCACACUCGCAUCGGGAGCGCGGCGCGUCCACAGCCGUUAAACACCCAACUUCUGAAAUGUUGACCUCGGAUCAGGUAGGAAUACCCGCUGAACUUAAGCAUAUCAAUAAGCGGAG